CCCCCAAGCACCGCGAAGGGUCUAGAAGUUGACCCUUGAGGGGGCUGGAUGAAACAUGCCCCCUCCAUGGAAGAGGCCUGCUGAGCAAGGGGUCACAUACUUCUUUUGAAGUGAUGUCAUUAGGAAGGGCUUGGAGGCCUCUGAUCAGACUGGAGUAGAGCAAAAUUGAGAAAGAAAGAGUAGAAAAAAGAGAGGAAAUAAAACUAGAAAAACAAACAAGACUUUAGAGUUGGAGCUCUUAAGAUAUUAUCAGCUCAACUCAUACCCUUUUCUGCAACUCUCAAUGCCACCCUGGCCUGGUAGUCACCCUUUGCCUGAAUGUUUAAACAGGAGACUCAAUAUUUCUGAAGUACCCUGUUUCAUUUUGUCCAGCUCCAGUGGUUAAUAAGCACCUUCUUACUGUCGCCCUCUUUCCUCUAGUGUUUUUCUCUGGAAAUGUAGAUUGCACUGCCCAAAUCCUGAUAACUGGCUACUUUUGCUUUUCAUUAUGAAUAUUGACUUUUAAUUAAAAAGCCAGCAGCUAAACAAAAGACUUCAAUUUCAAGCUUGCCAUGUGGGCAGUUUUCACGAGCUUAAUUUUAAAAUAAGAAUUUCCAAGCAAGAUAAUUGAUUAACUGCAAAACCGUAAACUUUGUGAAUUUUCUGUUUUGGGAAAGCAUACCUUGAGAUGUGUGUAAAUAAUUCAACGUGGAAUCUGAGCUGUAUGAUGCUUACAUCAAAGCACUAAAUUAUGCUUACUUAAGAGAAAUAGAUAUCCUUUUGCUUCUCCUCAGCCCACAUGUAACUAGUUUUGUGAAGGAAGGAUGCAUUUUUAGCAUGUUUCCCAUUAUACUCAGCACAUCCUUAAGCUUCUCAGAGAAACAUUAAUGUGGUUAGGUGAACUAAAGAACAACUGUUUGCUAAACUAAAAUGCUCUGAUAAAAAGUUCUGAGAUUUUACCUUAUUUGUAUAUGAGAUCUAGAAUCCAUAUUAACAUACACGGAUGUAAGUACUACUCCCUAAACAAACACAGUGGACCCUUGACUUAAAAACUCAAUUCUUUCCCAAGGGCUGGUUGUAACUCAAGUUGGUCAGUUGAAACCUCAGAUUCCUCUACACAGCCUUCAACAUCUCUCUCCUGUGUACAGGCAGAUCUCAGUGUUCUUAGAGAGACAGUGGCGUAGGAUUUCUCAAUUAACCCUAACACAGGAGAGGAUGUUGUAAUGUUCCUUUCAGAACUCUUUAAGGGUUAAAUCUGUAUCUGAGACCAUCAGAAGCACAAUUAGCCAGCAUUUGGGUCAUAACUCAAGACUUGCUAUAAGUUAAAACUAAAAUUCCGGUCAUAACUCCAGUUGUUCCUAUGUUGGGCUGUUUGUAACUCGAGGGUGUACUGUAACAUAAAAUAAGCACCCUCCUGUCUAUCAGAUAGACCUUGUACUGUGUUCCUUAUUGCCAAAACAAAUAGCAUUGUGUACACAAACAUCUAGUCCCUCUUUCUUAGUA
rnacentral:lncRNA from 1 species